GACAACGUGGCUUCGAUAACAAGAACAAAGCGAACUCUUAGAUCUUAUUGAUGCCUCAGUUGGAAGCGAUUGAUUGACGCCGUCACCUCCACGCAACCCCGCGAUACCUUAAACUUCGAAACCAAAAAUUAGGGGCCGACGAUAUUUUUCUCGGGGAUGGUUGGCCACUAUGGAGUUUAGUAAUGAAGAAGAGAAUCCCGGUUCCCGAAGCCCUCGUUUCGCCUGACCCGCGGCCAUGGACGAAUAAAAAAACGUACCCAACAUCGAUGCCAUCCGGUUCCCCAAUCGGAUUGAGGAGGGGCGCCCGGAUAUUUGGGUUUGCCUGGUGAAAGUCAAUUCAGAAUCUGUUGCAGAUUUCUGUUUAGCAUGCUGGAGGUUUAAAGAGCGGACAGCAAUCGACACAAUCCGCAACCAACUACCAACGUGAACCAAACGAAGCGGUCGACUGUUAAAUUUAUAUUAUGGGACGACACGCCAAAAGAGAGGCCAUCAACAUAGCAAUGAUUUCCAUAUCCGCCUCCAAUUUCUAAGAGUGCGUCUUUUAUGGCUUCGGCGUCCCGCCGUAUUUCAAAGCGCCAACUUUUGCUACCGGUUAACUGAACACUUUGGCUUUUUGUCCUUAUACCACCGUUGCCGAACCUCAUCAAAACUCAGUGGUGCUGUUUACAAGACGGCAUGUUUCGUGUUCCAACCCGCCUUGGAGGUGUCGUGGGUUUUACACUUCCAGUGACCCGCCGCAGCUUGGGGGACUCUAGUCCUGAAAGCAUCACGUACACUAGCCGACCAAUUAACUUUGAACAAAAGCGGGAACUACACGGCGCUCUCAUGACCAUAUUAUUCAUGAUCCUCUUCCCUAUCGGUUCGUUAUCGAUGCACCUCCGAACCAAAGUUUGCAUCGCACCAUACAUCCAUGCGCUUAUUCAAACAAUCGACAGAAUCAUGGCAAUCAUGGCCGUGGCGCUGGGCAUCAAUUUGACAAGCGAUCUAGAAUUCUGGAAUCCGCUCCGCACCCAUGUCAUUGUGGGAUUAGUUGCAACAGGAAUAAUCCUGUUCAUUCAGCCUGCGCUGGGUAUUGUACAGCACCAUUACUUUGGAAUAGCUAGGGCCGGAUAUGUUAAUAGCCGCAUUUUUGGCGUUAUGCAUAGAUGGCUAGGGAGGGUAGCUGUAGUUUUGGGCAUGGCGAAUUCUGGCCUCGGAUUCCAGCUGGUUGGUGGCGAGGAAAACGUGCCUAAGGGAUCUCUGGUGUGGAACUUUGUUCUUAUGGGCGUCUUCAUAUUGUUAUGGUUUUCGGCUGUCCUGAUAGAUUUCCUUGGACGGCGGAGGGAGAGGCCGGUGCAAACGGAGCGGGAAAUAGCGGAAGCGAUAUCUACCACAGCUGGGGAAAGCGGCGGUAUCAGGAAUACAACCUUUCAAAUCCCCAACAAUAGGCUUCCCCGAUAAAAAUUAUCUCCUCCUCGUCCGUUGUGAGAGCCGAUAAGAACCAUCGAGGAGACUCUAGGGAAGUGAAUUAGGGCUCUGCAGGGCUGCCCUAACUCUAAUGCGGCUAGGGUUUGGGUCGUGGCUGGCCGAAUUCGGAAGCCACAGGGCCACCCAGGGCAGGAACUGGCCAGAAGCGGCGAUUGAUGACUAACCUUGGGAGGGCAGACCGGCGAAACACCUACAACCCUGCCUGAGACACCACGGCUAUCCAGAACAUCCAGGUUGAUAGUCUGCUGUUCUCCUGCUGCUCGUUUCAGUGCCAGUUCCAAGUCCACUGGUGUGUGAAUUCGUCUCACCUGUUAGUUUCUCAAUAACCCAAUUACUACUACCCCUCCGGCACUAAAAGCCGAAUCCUUCGGAGCAUACGUCACAUAGUACUCGUACUAGUUCAAGAUCCAACCCACCACUUUCUCUGCUCCCUCAGCUUAUUUUCUUUCUUCAUUUCCUCCUUCAAAACAGCCAUAUAUAUAUAUCGGAGUAUAUUCGUUAACAGAAAUUAUCGUAUUCCUUCUACUUCCGUCACUCACUGUGGAAUGAUCUGGGGUACUGGUCUCACUCACCACCUCCGGAACCCUGCGCAUACUCGACUACAACAAGCACCUUACUUAUAGGUUGUUUUUAUAGUCAUUUAUGCGGCAGCAUCCAAUUUUUCCAUAUCCGCCUUCCCGGGCUGGGUACUGGGCCCCUAUAACUUCAACACUGAACUGGUGCGAAGAGGAUUACUAUGCGAGCUUCUAUCUCGCUGAGUUUGUGAAUGCGCUCACGAAUUGUUUAUUCCUCUGGUUAGGCGUCAAAGGCAUUCUGAGUUGUAGAAGGAAUGGCCACGACUCAAUUUUCCAGAUCGCCUUCCUUGGUUACCUCACAGUCGGAUUGGGCAGCUUCCUCUUCCACGCUACCUUAAAAUACCCCAUGCAACUCGUCGACGAACUUUCUAUGAUCUACACAACCUGUUUAGUUUGCUAUGCCACAUUUUCCUACUCCAAACCUACGAAAACUCGAAUACUCCUGGCCCUAUUCCUCCUGGCCCUUGCUAUUGUCAUAACUUUAUACUACCACUAUAUCCAAAACCCAAUCUUUCACCAAAACGCCUAUGCUCUUCUCACGGCUAUUGUUCUCCUUCGCAGCAUGUGGGUCAUGGAGGCUGCGCUGCGGCCAUCGUGGCGCAAUAAAGGCCUGGAACGAAACCAACAGUUUCAUUCCUACGAAGACAUGCGUGACUUGAAGAUCUUACAUACUAUGUGGGUUAUGGUGGCUUACGGCCUCGCCACCUUCUUGGGCGGCUUCGCGAUCUGGAAUCUGGACAAUGUGCUCUGCUCCCGCUUGCGCGGAUGGCGAAGAAAGAUCGGGCUGCCCUGGGGCAUCCUACUGGAAGGUCACGGCUGGUGGCAUCUUAUGACUGGAAUUGGCGCAUACAUGUACAUUGUCUGGGGAAUAUGGCUACGUCACUGUCUAAAUGGACUCCAGGAAGAAUAUCAAUUACAAUGGCCCCGCAUUUAUAGUUUUCCGGACGUCGUUCGCGUUUCCAAUCAGGGCAAGAGGAGCACAAAUGGUUCGACCAAGUUACCAGCGGCGCAUAAACCAUAUCAAAAUGGUAUGGCGAAGAAGAUCAAUUAGGCAUUUUUUACCCACCUUAUACUGACCGACCUAUUUUCUAACUCUUUUGCUAUAUAUAUAUAUAUGUAUGUGUGUGUGUGUGUGUGUUUGUUUGUGGAGGCAUGAAGGGGACUGCCCCACCUCUCAGCAACGGCAUUACGUCGGCCCUAUAUAGACGCACGGUUCUGUGAUAUAUGAUGUAUCUGUAUUAGACGGGGUUUGUGGACUUGGUCUACCCGGGCACGCAUGGAUAAAUGUGAUGGCCUUCUGUUGGACGGCUGUCGGUUUUGGUACCCCUUUUCAUUUCUUUCUUUUCUCUUUCGUUUACGUUUUCAUAUUAUUACACACUACUAGACUUUUCGCAUGUACUGAUGAUAGCUUUGGCCUCGCGUCAGUUAGGGAGCAUCUAAAAUUAUGGGCUUUACUCCUUAGCUGAGGAUGGGAAAUUGGAAAUAUUAUGGAUAUUGGAAUAAAUGGCAUAUGAAUUGUGCCAAUAAGGGAUAUCACAUGCAUACGUGCAGAGUCUUAUGUGGUACACAAAUAUAUGUUAUGUGGAAAAAAUCUAUCAAGGCCUCAAAUGAGAAAAAUCAUCUAUAAAAGCACCCUCAACGAUGAAACCAUAUAUAUAAAAGAAGAAACCCCAUCUAUUGUCUCAUAAUUUUGCGUCAACCCUGGCCGCUCCACCAACCCCAUUCGACUGAUUAUUCCUAACCGGUGGCUUAGCAUGUCCUCUCCACUCCUCAUCGAUCGUAGCCUUCUCAAUCUUAGAUUUCUUCUCCCACUCCCGUCUAAACUCCCCUUCCUCCCUCCUCCACCUCUGCAUCUCCUUCCCAAUCCACUCGGCCGCGUGGUCCGCCGUCUCCCCCACCGCCUCCAUCGGAAUCAAAUGCCCCACAUCCUUCAGCAGAACGGACUUGACACGACCAUCCGCCACCCCGCCGCUCCCUCCAACCCCAAUGCCUGCGUUGUCCAGCUUAGCUUGGCAGUGAUGCGGGAGACACAUAUCUGACUUGUCCGCAAAGACGUAUAGGACUGAGGGGCGGAGAUGAGGGAGUCGGGCGAAGGUUAGGGCAGCUUCGGGGCGGUAGAAUGGGAAUGCGUAUGUGAUGCCGGGAGCGAGAUCGGGGUGCGUGAGCCUGUUUAUGGGCCUCGUGUUGGGUGGGUCGAAGUUUGGGCGCGAGAAUGUGAAGACUUCCUGGUGCCGGGUUGUGGUAAGGGUUACGGGAUUUUCGCUGUGGGUUGCUGGUGAAGUUGGCGACAAUGAUGAUGAUGAUGAUUGCGGUGAAGGAUAAAGUGCGGUGGGGAGUUCGCGGAGGCCGUAUUUGAUCCAAAGGUCGAGGACGCGGGGGUCCCAGUGCUGGUAGAAUGGACUUUUCUUGACAGCUUCAGCGGCCGCAGCGCGGGAAGGCCAGAUAUCACGUCGGUAGCUGGAGGCGACUGUUGUGGCGGGUGCUGUGCUGGAUUCAAGUUUGUUAUGAAAGAUGUCGUCUUGCGGGGUUAUUUCUGGGCGGUAGAUGACAGGGUCCAGGAGGAUGAGGGAGGUGAGGAGUCGAGGGUGUAAGAGGCUUAGGUUGACUAGGUUGUUACCACCCAUACUAUGACCAAUGCCG
rnacentral:sRNA from 1 species